CUUGCUCCCGGAUGUUAGCGGCGGACGGGUGAGUAACACGUGGGUAACCUGCCUGUAAGACUGGGAUAACUCCGGGAAACCGGAGCUAAUACCGGAUAGUUCCUUGAACCGCAUGGUUCAAGGAUGAAAGACGGUUUCGGCUGUCACUUACAGAUGGACCCGCGGCGCAUUAGCUAGUUGGUGGGGUAAUGGCUCACCAAGGCGACGAUGCGUAGCCGACCUGAGAGGGGGACCAACCAUACUGGGACUGAGACACGGCCCAGACUCCUACGGGAGGCAGCAGUAGGGAAUCUUCCGCAAUGGACGAAAGUCUGACGGAGCAACGCCGCGUGAGUGAUGAAGGUUUUCGGAUCGUAAAGCUCUGUUGUUAGGGAAGAACAAGUGCGAGAGUAACUGCUCGCACCUUGACGGUACCUAACCAGAAAGCCACGGCUAACUACGUGCCAGCAGCCGCGGUAAUACGUAGGUGGCAAGCGUUGUCCGGAAUUAUUGGGCGUAAAGGGCUCGCAGGCGGUUUCUUAAGUCUGAUGUGAAAGCCCCCGGCUCAACCGGGGAGGGUCAUUGGAAACUGGGAAACUUGAGUGCAGAAGAGGAGAGU
rnacentral:rRNA from 1 species